GGGACCCAGGCAUCCAGGACAAGAGGGGCCCAGGCAUCCAGGACAAGAAGGGCCCAGGCGUCCGGGACAAGAGGGACCCAGGCAUCCAGGACAAGAGGGACCCAGGCAUCCAGGACAAGAAGGGCCCAGGCGUCCGGGACAAGAGGGACCCAGGUGUCCGGGACAAGAAGGACCCAGGUGUCCGGGUCAAGAAGGGCCCAGGCAUCCGGGACAAGAGGGGCCCAGGCAUCCAGGACAAGAGGGGCCCAGGCGUCCGGGACAAGGGGCCCAGGUGUCCGGGAAAAGGGCCCAGGCGUCCGGGGGAAGGGGCCCAGGCGUCCGGGGAAGGGGCCCAGGUGUCCGUGGAAAGGGACCCAGGCGUCCGGGUGAAGGGGCCCAGGCGUCCGGGCAGCAGGGACCCAGGCGUCCUGUCCCGCAGGUCGGCACGUGGGCAGCUGCCCGCCGGUUCGGGGGUCUCCACGCCGGUUGGGCCUUGCUGGUGGCAGCUGCCGCCGCCUGCCUGAUCCGCGCCGGCUACUGGGGCUGCGUCCGCGUGAGCCACCCGCUGCCCGGCCCUGCCUGAACACGCUUGAACACGCCUCGUCACGCCUCGACACGCCUCGACACGCUUCAACACGCCUCGACACGCUUCAGCACGCGCCAGCAGGCUUCCACGUGCCGCGGCGCGGCGCGGCGUGGUUCGGCACGGCUCAACACGCGUGUCGA
rnacentral:lncRNA from 1 species